rnacentral:rRNA from 1 species
UACAGAGGUCUCAAGCGUUGUUCGGAUUCAUUGGGCGUAAAGGGUGCGUAGGCGGCGCGGUAAGUCGGGUGUGAAAUCUUGGAGCUUAACUCCGAAACUGCAUUCGAUACUGCCGUGCUUGAGGACUGGAGAGGAGACUGGAAUUUACGGUGUAGCGGUGAAAUGCGCAGAUAUCGGGAGGAACACCCGUAGCGAAGGCGGCACUCUGGGCCGGAACUGACGCUGAGGAGCGAAAGCGUGGGGAGCAAACAGG